UAUACAUAUGUAUAUUAGGGGUGUGAAUCUUUGGCUUCAGACGAUUCGUUUCGAUUAACGAUUCAGUAGUUGGCGAUUCGAUUCAAGGACUUUUUUUUUUUUUUUUAACGAUUCGAUUCUGUAAACCACGAUUCGAUUCAGUAACUUUGAACCAAAAUUCUAUAUCCGUGAAAUAAACAUGCAAUAAUGUGACACCGUGUCAUGGGUAGAUGUGUUGGAGCGUCUUGAACUAGGUGGAUCACUCAGGAGCCGACGAGAAGUUUGGAAAAAGAUGGGAUCUUUUAUUUUCCCAAUUUAAGGCCCAUAAGGCAAUAAAAAUAAAACGAAAAUCAACAAAAAUAAAAAUACCUUUCACUAAACAAACUGAAUGGGCUUGAGAGUCACAAAAACAUCAAUUCGAACUUAAGCAUACUGGACCUUUAUAUUAUUGCUAGAUUUUGGCGUAGCCAAAAUAUACAAAAACUGCAAUAAACAUAAUUACAAAAACUCGGGGUCACUUCCGGUUUACCCGGAAGUUAUGACGUUAAUUUAAACCCCAUUGACGCGGCACACAUUCCCUAAUACAAAGGCCCCACGCUGGUAAGACGAACAUUUACGCUGCGUUAAAGGCCCACUAUGCAACUUCGGGCAUUUCUUCGCUGUUUUCUUGGUUUUGGCACGCACAUUUCUCUACACAACGCCCCCUACAGCUUCGUAGUAGAUAUUUCACAACACUGUCGUAACAACUCGUUGACGACCCUUCCCCAUGCACUUCUACGCGAGCCAUGUGCAUUUGUUUUCAAAGAAGCCGGCGAAUGCGUGGAGCCAUGUCCGAAGUAGAUGUUCAUAAAGUGUAGG